rnacentral:rRNA from 1 species
CCUACGGGAGGCAGCAGUGGGGAAUUUUGGACAAUGGGCGCAAGCCUGAUCCAGCCAUUCCGCGUGAGUGAAGAAGGCCUUCGGGUUGUAAAGCUCUUUCGGCAGGGAAGAAACGGUAUGGGUUAAUACCCUGUGCUAAUGACGGUACCUGAAGAAGAAGCACCGGCUAACUACGUGCCAGCAGCCGCGGUAAUACGUAGGGUGCGAGCGUUAAAUCGGAAUUACUGGGCGUAAAAGCGUGCGCAGGCGGUUUUGUAAGACAGAUGUGAAAUCCCCGGGCUUAACCUGGGAACUGCGUUUGUGACUGCAAGACUCGAGUACGGCAGAGGGGGGUGGAAUUCCACGUGUAGCAGUGAAAUGCGUAGAGAUGUGGAGGAACACCGAUGGCGAAGGCAGCCCCCUGGGUCGAUACUGACGCUCAUGCACGAAAGCGUGGGGAGCAAACAGGAUUAGAUACCCUGGUAGUCCACGCCCUAGACGAUGCCAACUAGGUGUUGGGGAAGGAGACUUCCUUAGUACCGUAGCUAACGCGUGAAGUUGGCCGCCUGGGGAGUACGGUCGCAAAGAAUUAAAACUCAAAAGGAAUUGACGG